UCUCUGAUAGUAUAUCGGUUAGUACACGCGCCUGUCAUGUCUGUUCAAGGUUAAAGCUGCGCGCGAAAGCUGGGUUCGACUCCCAGUCAGAGAG